rnacentral:rRNA from 1 species
UGCGUAGGCGGAAUAUUAAGUCAGUGGUGAAAUCUUUCGGCUCAACCGAGAAACUGCCAUUGAUACUGUUAAUCUUGAGUUCGGUUGAGGUAGGCGGAAUGUGUAAUGUAGCGGUGAAAUGCUUAGAUAUUACACAGAACACCAAUUGCGUAGGCAGCUUACUAGACCGACACUGACGCUGAGGCACGAAAGCGUGGGGAGCGAACAGGAUUAGAUACCCUGGUAGUCC